UGCGUAGGCGGAUUAAUAAGUCAGUGGUGAAAUCUCUCGGCUCAACCGGGAAACUGCCAUUGAUACUGUUAAUCUUGAGUUCGGUUGAGGUAGGCGGAAUGCGUAAUGUAGCGGUGAAAUGCUUAGAUAUUACACAGAACACCAAUUGCGUAGGCAGCUUACUAGACCGACACUGACGCUGAGGCACGAAAGCGUGGGUAGCGAACAGGAUUAGAUACCCUGGUAGUCC
rnacentral:rRNA from 1 species